rnacentral:lncRNA from 13 species
ACACGGGUUUUCCCUCCAGGACAGGCAUAACUUCAAGCAAAACAGCCCUUUUCCUCCAGAAGUAUUUGCAAGCUCAGCUGCUGUUCCACAGCACACUAUGUGAAGCAGGAGAGCAAGAUAUAAAAAACAAAAGCUGAAACUCCCUUUGCUAGGGAAGGAGAAAUAAUUUGGUUUCUAAAUUUUCUCUGGUAGGGAUUUUUUUCUUUAGGGAAACUUUGAACUGGGCUGUACUUUCCAUCCUAACUUUUAAUAUCCUUUCUACGGUUUCAAAGAUCAAAUCUAUUGUCUCCAGAGCCCUGGAACCUGCUUUGAGUUUCACAGAGCAGUGGAAGCAAUGGGAGCUCUGCGGCACAGGUCCAGGUGUGGGAAUGAAGAGGUAGUGAUUGCCUGUCAGCCUUCUCCAUGAGAAACAGAUCCACACCUUUGAGGGUCUUAAGGAAAUGCAGGAGCUCCACAGUUAUUUCAGCUCUGCUCAUGGUAUUGGAGGCAAUUCAGAUGAAGCUACUGUGGAACUCCUGACCUCCAACUAACCAUCUGACUGCAUCCAUUUUGUCCCCUGAAACUGUCUCCUCCCUUCCCGAGGUCUUUGCUCCAUACACUGUGUCCAGAGACUCUCUCAAGCCUUCUUCAAGAGCCUGUCCAGAUUUUCCACAUCAACCAGCAUGCAGCUUUCAAAGAAAAAAUCUACUGCCUGAGAGCUCCACACUUGUGGAAGAAAACAAGACCCAGCAAAAUGGAGAGCAGCAACACCCAACAAAGACUGUGAAGCACCAUGUGUGUAGUUGCCACUGGAACAGCAGCUUCGUGGGAGGUAGCCUAGAAUGGAGCCUAGCUUGCCUGGAGGUGAGGGAUGAGGACAUCUAGGCAAGCGAGCACACUCAUGUGAGUUCCCAUAAAGUCUCUGGGAACCACUUUCUUCAAAAUAGUAGGACACCACUCUCUCCCAGACCUCAGCUCCUACAGACACCCUCAUUCCUUCAGCCUAGGGCUCUGCUCACAAGCUGUCAUCAGCAAAAAUAUUUCAACCCUGCUGAUGCAAAUAAGGGAUGGAAAGGGGAACCACUGUUUCUUGAGGGGGAGGCUGAGGAAAUAGGUGACGCAUGGUGGGAGGAUGAGCAGUGAGAAAUGGAGAAAUGAAAAAUGGAAAGUUUUCACUAAAGUUGUGACAAAUACAACUCCUCUAAUAGAACUAGACAGCAGAGUGGGCAGAGACAACUUGACAGCCUUUUAGAAGAGGAAGGAGUGACAAACACGUGAAAAUACCAAAGUGGCCUAUGUCCUGAGGGCCCUGACUCUCAGGCUCUGGGGGUUCAUGCUGAGGUGAUUUUAAGAAGCUCCUAGUCCAAGCUGCUCACCCAUUACUACAGGUUAUUGCCCUGUCACUGACUUGUCAGAAGUAGUGGUGUGCUCACACCAUAGGCACCAGACUAAUAUAUUGACAUAACUGAGGUGGCUAAUUCAGUUUACGAGGAAGUGGACUGUGGUGGCCAAGGCAUCUUCUUCUUGAUCCCUAUCAGGUUUAGUUGAAUAGAUCAGCUGAGGUCAGAAACCUCCUGAGACACCACAGCCUAACCAGACAAGCACCAAAAGUGGCCAAGAGAUCACCAGGAGAGCCUUGAUACCAAUUUAGACAUUUUUCUUGUCUUUAGACCUCCUUUUCUCUGCUUUUCACUAACUCCUUUGUUGCCCCCUAGCUUGCAGAAGGCAUUAGGUAAGGUUUUCUUGUGGUGUCUCCUUUCCUCUAGGGAGCUGAAUGCCAGACUGAGUAGUGCAGGUGGGAAGUGAUCCCAUGACAUGGUUCAGAGAAGAGCACUGGUACUUUUAUAGAGUGGCUGCCAGGGUGCAACAAGGGGUGGGGACAAAUCCCAGGGUGGCAGCAGCAGGGUAGCCUGGGGAGAGGCAGCCCAGCCCCAGGCAG